CAAAGAAGAAGCAGACGACGACGACGACCUGCCUGGCAGCAAAUUAAUUGCAGAAACCAGUUAAACUUCAACCUACCUUUUCAAUCCAUUUGUUUUGCAGGGGCUACUAUGGCCACAUCUAAAUUAAUGAGAGCCAUUAGGGUGUCUGAGUUUGGAGCCCCUUCUGUUUUAAAACUUUGCACAGACCUGCCUGUGCCAAAUCCUGGUCAGAAACAGGUCUCACUUCAUACUGGACUUUCGGCGUGUUUCCUUUCCUUUACCACAUGUACCUAAUCUUCCCAGUAUGACCGUAUAUUCCCGGGACCCCCCCUCAGAGUUAGAUUGUGGAUCAGGACCCGGUCACCAGGCUGAAGAUCUCUCCCUUGAGCCUUCUGGUCAUAGUAGGCUUUCCCAAGGGCUGCUGUUUUUGAAGCUGUCUUUGAUGCAAUUUGGUAUGCCUCACUCAUCUUUUCCUUCCAAUGAGACACAUAGUCCUGGUAAGUGCCAUACUUCUCAUUUGUCUUCAGGUUGAAAAGAAUGUCAAGUGGUAAGCAAGAGGAUCUUACAUACAACAAGUAGUUCGGAGAAAACCCUGUUGCUUCACUUCGUGUGCAAUUUUAUGCAUGAACCACUUUGGCCAAGGAAUUCUUCCAGUCUACUUUUUCCUCAUCCGUAAGGGUACUGGGCAUGGACAAUAGGGUGGGAUUGAAUCGCUCCAUUUGUCCAUUGCCUUGUGGAUGGUAGGGUGUGGUGUGUUAUCCGCAAAUUCUACAGAGUUCUUUCAGUUUCUUCAUCAGUUUAUUGUUAACCCUUGUGCAUUGUUCAAAUUCACUAUCCUUUCGUUAUGUUCGGGAUGAAAACAU